rnacentral:rRNA from 1 species
GACGAACGCUGGCGGCGGGCCUAAUACAUGCAAGUCGAGCGAAGCGGCGGAUGGGUGAGUAACGCGUGGGUAACCUGACCUUAAGUCUGGGGUAGCAUUUGGAAACCGAUGCUAAUACCGGAUACUAAAGGAUGGAGCUGCGAUGCAUUAGCUAGUUGGUAAGGUAACGGCUUACCAAGGCGAUGAUGCAUAGCCGAGGUGAGAGACUGAUCGGCCACACUGGGACUGAGACACGGCCCAAACUCCUACGGGAGGCAGCAGUAGGGAAUCUUCCACAAUGGACGAAAGUCUGAUGGAGCAACGCCGCGUGAGUGAAGAAGGUUUUCGGAUCGUAAAGCUCUGUUGUUGGUGAAGCGGUAAUCAACCAGAAAGUCACGGCUAACUACGUGCCAGCAGCCGCGGUAAUUC